AUUCCAGCUCCAGUAGCGUAUAUUAAAGUUGUUGCAGUUAAAAAGCUCGUAGUUGGAUUUCUGGCAAGGCAGAGCUAACCUGGUACUAUGUAUCGUGUGUUGGACUCGGUCUGCCAUCCUUCCAGAAAAGCAUCAUACCCUUCAUUGGGCCGUGGUGAUAGAUCUGGAACUUUUACUUUGAAAAAAUUAGAGUGUUCAAAGCAGGCGUUACGCUAUGAAUACAUUAGCAUGGAAUAAUAAUUUAGGACUUCAGUACUAUUUUGUUGGUUUCUAGGACCGAAGUAAUGAUUGAUAGGGAUAGUUGGGGGUGCUAGUAUUCAGCGGCCAGAGGUGAAAUUCUUGGAUUCGCUGAAGACUAACUUAUGCGAAAGCAUUCACCAAGGAUGUCUUCAUUA
rnacentral:rRNA from 1 species